AGACUGACAUUACUAAUUAUGAAGGUGAAGAUGAUCAAGGCAUUCGGGAUAUUUCUGAUCUAGAAUAUUUUAAAUUCGAACAUGAGGUGACUCAGAUGGAAGUUGAAGUCAGUAAUGUUUUGACAUUGUUUAAAGAAGUUAUUGAAAAUCUAUCAGCAAUAACUAUUCCACAUAAUUGGUGUUCUGAUAUAACUGUACAUGGAAAAAAACAAAUACUUUCAUUUUAUAAACUUUGUCCCUAUGGAAUAACCUACAGCCGUUCAAUUGAAAAACAAUUAGUUAUUACUGAAGAUUCUGAUUUGGUUUAUCAUUUGUAUGGAGAGAUAU